rnacentral:rRNA from 1 species
GACGAACGCUGGCGGCGUGCCUAAUACAUGCAAAUUGAGCGCUGAAGGUUGGUACUUGUACCAACUGGAUGAGCAGCGAACGGGUGAGUAACGCGUGGGGAAUCUGCCUUUGAGCGGGGGACAACCUUUGGAAACGAAUGCUAAUACCGCAUAAAAACUUUAAACACAAGUUUUAAGUUUGAAAGAUGCAAUUGCAUCACUCAAAGAUGAUCCCGCGUUGUAUUAGCUAGUUGGUGAGGUAAAGGCUCACCAAGGCGAUGAUACAUAGCCGACCUGAGAGGGUGAUCGGCCACACUGGGACUGAGACACGGCCCAAACGCCUACGGGAGGCAGCAGUAGGGAAUCUUCGGCAAUGGACGAAAGUCUGACCGAGCAACGCCGCGUGAGUGAAGAAGGUUUUCGGAUCGGAAAACUCGGUUGGUAGAGAAGAACGUUGGUGAGAGUGGAAAGCUCAUCAAGUGACGGUAACUACCCAGAAAGGGACGGCUAACUACGUG